GUCCUACGGGGGGCAGCAGUGAGGAAUAUUGGUCAAUGGUCGGGAGACUGAACCAGCCAAGCCGCGUGAGGGAUGAAGGUACAGAGUAUCGUAAACCUCUUUUGUCAGGGAACGAAGGCGGGGACGUGUCCCCGGAUGAGUGUACCUGAAGAAAAAGCAUCGGCUAACUCCGUGCCAGCAGCCGCGGUAUUACGGAGGAUGCGAGCGUUAUCCGGAUUUAUUGGGUUUAAAGGGUGCGCAGGCGGUCUGUUAAGUCAGCGGUCAAAGCCCGGGGCUCGACCCCGGCCCGCCGUUGAAACUGGCAG
rnacentral:rRNA from 1 species